AUUGAAAGCGUCUUGUAGCUGUGGGUUACGUAAACCUAUAUGAAUGGAUGACAAUGAAAGGGCAAGGCUUCAUUAAGUAGGAGGACCAUGUUUUAAAAAGGCAACAACUUUGCCCCAGACAAAUAGAAUGAUUGACUAUGGGACAAGAUGGACAAACUAAAAUGAAUCACCGAACAAUGUUAAAUCAGUGACAAAAACAAGAGACAAAUAAACCCAUCCAUUUACUUCAUCCUGGGGCUGCUUUAGAUUUAGGCCUUUGAUGUGGUUUAUGCAGCCUCACACGUAUAGUAUACGGAGACAGUGGCAGGCAUGAAGGGUUUCGGAGCUGGAUCCACAAUAUCUUCCAAGUUCUGAAAGCUGAGAAGUACAAUGUCAAGGGACUAUAUCAGGUGCAGAACCCUCAUGAUCCAAUCUCCUAUUAAGGGCCCCACUUCUCAACACUGCCAUACUGUGGACCAAGUUUCAACAUGAGUUUUGGAGGGGACAUUCAAACCACAG